CCUCCGGGAAGUCUGCAGCGACUUGAAUGCUGUCCCUGUCACUGGGACGAAUUCCGGAAUAGAGUCCAGGUUUCCUAAGGCUUCUUCUCUGCCUGACCUCGCGUGACUGCCGAAUUCUGAGGCCGUCCCAGGGAUCUGUCUCUGUUUGUAGCGGUGAAUGGUGCUCUCCUCAUGGUAGUCCAGGCUUCCCAAGACCCAAGCCUUAAUGAUCCAAGGACCGGCGCCUUUGGACAUUCCUUAAUACAUUACUUCCGCCAAUCUGUAAUGCGUCUGAGGGCAUUUCCUUGGGCCCAUGAAAAUACAAUGAAACCUUUACUUAAGGAAAUAAACACCCUGACUCCACGGAUCUGGCGCAUAAGCCCCAGUGUUUGGAAUCGAACGGGCUUAUUUUUAUUUAUUUUACCAGCCAAUUUAAAACAGUUACUAAAUUGAAGUCAGAAGUGCACUGAGCUCAUUCAUAGUUUAUUUCAUCACCUUGUUGUGUGGAUUAUAUUUUCUAAACGUUAAUCCUCGACAAUCUGCCACCUAGAGAGUCUUCCUUCCACAAAGAAAAACAGCUUUCUAACCCCGCAUUUUGUUUUUCGCGUGGCGCCAGGAUAGUCUUCAAAUACAAAUGUGAUCAUGGCAACAUUCUGCUCAAAACUCUUGAUGUGGUUUUUCAGUUACUCUUAGAAUAAAUAUAGUUACGGCUUUGAAUUCCUCUGAUUGCCCAACUUUCUCGCCCCUUCACUAUACACUGAACUGGAGUUACAGUAAGCUUUUUUCCCUUAGUUCUCCCACAAUUUUUUUUUUUUUGUACGUGCGGAGAUUAUUCUCCCCAUCCUCCGUCCCUGUCUACCCCCACACACCCUUUACCUGUUGAGACCCUACUUAUUUGUCAGAUCUCAAGAAUCAUUUACUUAGAGGAACUAUUUCUUGACCACCCUUAACUGGAUGGAGCAAGUCUCUGUUACAUUUGCUGGUAGUUUCAUGUAGCUCUCAGUAGCACCUAUCAGUUCAAUUUCACAAUUAAAAAAUUAUUUUUAUUGUCUCCUAGAUUGAAAACUUCAGGAAGCACAACUGGUGUAUUUUUUGCCAGCAUCUAGCAGAUGUAAGCCUGGCACACAGUUUAUCAAUAAAUGUUAAGGGCAUUAAUAAGUGUUGAGACAAACCUUAUUUGAAAAAUUACCUCUUAAUUUGUAUUGUGAAAGAAAGAGGCCAAACUCCCUAAACUAACUAGCUAUAGGAAGUUUAUGAUAAGAGUAGAUUAUUGGUAGUACUUGGUGGGUAUUCUCCUUAAGAAGGUCUAGGAGUGGGGUGCCUGGGUGGCUCAGUUGGUUAAGCAUCUGACUUGGGCUCAGGCCAUGAUCUCAUGGUUUGUGAGUUGGAGCCCCACAUCAAGCUCUGUGAUGGCAGCUCAGACCCUGGAGCUUGCUUCAGAUUGUGUCUCUCUCUCUGCCCCUCCCCCACUCAUGCCCUUUCUCUCAAAAGUGAAUAAAAGGUUAAAAAAAAAAAAAGUAAAAAAAAAAAAAAGAAGUUCCAGGAGUUAUAUAGAACUUUAACAGGUUUAAGCACACCAAUCUGAUUUAUUUUUAAAUUAGAAUGAGAAUUAACAAGAUUUUACUUUCCAGUCUAAAACAAUUUAGGUAUGCUCAUUGUAUAUAUUUGUCUGAAUUGUAUCCUAAUUUUAAGUAAGGAUAACAAGGACCAGAAGAUUGGGAGAUUACUGAAUUUGCUAGAGGUAGAAUAGUAUAGACUAACAAUUGCAAAUUCCUCUUACUGCUGUGCAACUUGGCCUCUAGCAGCUUCUUUUAAUCCCCUAUUCUCAUUCAACCUCAGAACAGUCCUGGUGAAAGGAUGGUAAAAAGGAAAGAGCAGAAGGCUUUUCUGAAAGAUUGAAUGUGCUACAGGAAUGUAGGAGAAGCUGUAAAAAUUAGCUCCCAGUGUGGGAACCUCUCAGGGAGAUAGCCCAAUGGCACAGUGCCCUCUGGUGUUAGGAAGAGAUUUUUCCCCCUAUCAUAUGAGCGCUUAGGGGCUAAGCAAAGAUAAUGGGAGCUUCCAACAAUCCCAGAUUUAGAGCACAACAUGUUGUUUUUCAACUUUUAUCUAUUUACUAAGAAGAAAACUGUUGAUUGACAUCCAGUGUUGUAAUCUAUGCCCUCUAACCUGGGUACUUUUUAGGAUAGUGACUCUCAACAGCUCUACCUUGAGAAGUGAAACAAAAUUAUUUAUGAACUGUAACAAAUAGUGCUACAAAUAACAGAAGAUUGCACAUAAUCAACUUUUUAAAAAUAUGAAUUAAAGAAGAUUCAAAAUUAUCUAAUAAUCUUUUAUUCAUCCAUGUAAAAACAUUUUUUAAAAAGGAAGUGCAAAGAGUGUGCAACAAUGGAAGAUAUGCCUGGCAAGUUCUGCUUUGGUGAUAGUAUAUCUCAGAAAAACACUCAGCUGGGAUGUGGCCAGAAGAAUGGCUGACACAGAGAUCUAUUCAAUAAACUUUUACUGAGGUGUUCAAUACAUGAAAGGACUCCUUGAAGGAUAUGCUCCAACAGUUCCUGACUGCUGGUACUCUCUGAUUCCACAGCUGCUGGAGUGACUUAGCAGUUGGCUAGGCAUACCCUGAACUACAGAAGAUGUAUGCUGGGCCAGAAGCAGGCCUUCUUCCUGCAGACUUGGAAGGAGCUGAUGACAAAGGCCUGCCAACAGUGCUGUGACUGAUCCCAUCCAGGAUACUGCCUUACAUUUCGUCAUCGUGUCUCUGUAGCCUUCUUCUUGACUCUGGCAGUGUCUCAGACCUUCCCUGUUUUUGAUGACCUUGACAACUUUGAGGAGUACUGAUCAGGUAUUCUCUAGAAUGUUUUUCUGUUUGUGUUUGCCUGAUAUUUCUCAUGAUUAGACUGGAGUUAUGGGUUUUGGAAGAUGACCACAGAAGUAAAGUGUCAUUCUCAUCAUAUAUCAAGAGUACGUAGCAGCAACAUGACUUACACUGUUGAUGUUAACUUUGAUUUACUAGCUUGAGGUAGUAUUUGCCAGGUUUCUCCACUCUUGUUA